GUGGUAUUAGCUUAAUGGUAGAGCUUCUCGCUGUGAACGAGAAAGGUGUGGGUUCAAGUCCCACAUUUCACCCCA
rnacentral:tRNA from 1 species